AUAGCGUAUAUUAAAGUUGUUGCAGUUAAAAAGCUCGUAGUUGAACUUCAGACCUGGCUGGAUGGUCUGCCGAAAGGUAUGUACUGUCUGGCUGGGCCUUACCUCUUGGUGAGCCGGCAUGCCCUUCACUGGGUGUGUCGGGGAACCAGGACUUUUACCUUGAGAAAAUUAGAGUGUUCAAAGCAGGCCUAUGCCUGGAUACAUUAGCAUGGAAUAAUAGAAUAGGACGUGUGGUUCUAUUUUGUUGGUUUCUAGAAUUGCCGUAAUGAUUAAUAGGGAUAGUUGGGGGCAUUGGUAUUCAGUCGCUAGAGGUGAAAUUCUUGGAUUGACUGAAGACCGACUAUUG
rnacentral:rRNA from 1 species